rnacentral:ncRNA from 11 species
UGUGAUUCAUGACUGGGGUGAAGUCGUAACAAGGUAACCGUAGGGGAACCUGCGGUUGGAUCACCUCCUUA